rnacentral:rRNA from 1 species
CCAAAAGCGGAGGAAAAGAAACCAACCGGGAUUGCCUUAGUAACGGCGAGUGAAGCGGCAAAAGCUCAAAUUUGAAAUCUGGUACCUUCGGUGCCCGAGUUGUAAUUUGGAGAGGGCAACUUUGGGGCCGUUCCUUGUCUAUGUUCCUUGGAACAGGACGUCAUAGAGGGUGAGAAUCCCGUGUGGCGAGGAGUGCGGUUCUUUGUAAAGUGCCUUCGAAGAGUCGAGUUGUUUGGGAAUGCAGCUCUAAGUGGGUGGUAAAUUCCAUCUAAAGCUAAAUAUUGGCGAGAGACCGAUAGCGAACAAGUACAGUGAUGGAAAGAUGAAAAGAACUUUGAAAAGAGAGUGAAAAAGUACGUGAAAUUGUUGAAAGGGAAGGGCAUUUGAUCAGACAUGGUGUUUUGUGCCCUCUGCUCCUUGUGGGUAGGGGAAUCUCGCAUUUCACUGGGCCAGCAUCAGUUUUGGUGGCAGGAUAAAUCCAUAGGAAUGUAGCUUGCCUCGGUAAGUAUUAUAGCCUGUGGGAAUACUGCCAGCUGGGACUGAGGACUGCGACGUAAGUCAAGGAUGCUGGCAUAAUGGUUAUAUGCCGCCCGUCUUGAA